GGACGAACGCUGGCGGCGUGCUUAACACAUGCAAGUCGAGCGGUAAGGCCCUUUCGGGGGUACACGAGCGGCGAACGGGUGAGUAACACGUGGGUGACCUGCCCUCGAGCUCUGGGAUAAGCCUGGGAAACCGGGUCUAAUACUGGAUAUGACUCCAUGACGCAUGUUGUGGGUGAAAGCCUUGUGCGGCUGAGGAUGGGCCCGCGGCCUAUCAGCUUGUUGGUGGGGUGAUGGCCUACCAAGGCGACGACGGGUAGCCGGCCUGAGAGGCGACCGGCCACACUGGGACUGAGACACGGCCCAGAC
rnacentral:rRNA from 1 species